GGCGCGGUAGCAAAGCGGUUAUGCCCUGGAGUGCAAAUCAGGUUAGUCCCGUUCGACUCCGGACCGCGCCUCCA
rnacentral:tRNA from 1 species